GACGAACGCUGGCGGCGUGCUUAACACAUGCAAGUCGAACGGAAAGGCCCUGCUUUUGUGGGGUGCUCGAGUGGCGAACGGGUGAGUAACACGUGAGUAACCUGCCCUUGACUUUGGGAUAACUUCAGGAAACUGGGGCUAAUACCGGAUAGGAGCUCCUGCUGCAUGGUGGGGGUUGGAAAGUUUCGGCGGUUGGGGAUGGACUCCCUGCUUAUCAGCUUGUCGGUGGGGUAGUGGCUUACCAAGGCUUUGACGGGUAGCCGGCCUGAGAGGGUGACCGGCCACAUUGGGACUGAGAUACGGCCCGGACUCCUACGGGAGGCAGCAGUGGGGAAUAUUGCACAAUGGGCGGAAGCCUGAUGCAGCAACGCCGCGUGCGGGAUGACGGCCUUCGGGUUGUAAACCGCUUUCGCCUGUGACGAAGCGUGAGUGACGGUAAUGGGUAAAGAAGCACCGGCUAACUACGUG
rnacentral:rRNA from 1 species